rnacentral:rRNA from 1 species
AUUGAACGCUGGCGGCAUGCUUUACACAUGCAAGUCGAACGGUAACAGGCCGCAAGGUGCUGACGAGUGGCGAACGGGUGAGUAAUGCAUCGGAACGUGCCCAGUCGUGGGGGUUAACUACUCGAAAGAGUAGCUAAUACCGCAUACGAUCUAUGGAUGAAAGCGGGGGACCGUAAGGCCUCGCGCGAUUGGAGGGGCCUGUGUCGGAUUAGGUAGUUGGUGGGGUAAAGGCUCACCAAGCCCACGAUCUGUAGCUGGUCUGAGAGGACGACCAGCAACACUGGAACUGAGACACGGCCCAGACUCCUACGGGAGGCAGCAGUGGGGAAUUUUGGACAAUGGGCGCAAGCCUGAUCCAGCAAUGCCGCGUGCAGGAAGAAGGCCUUCGGGUUGUAAACUGCUUUUGUACGGAACGAAACGGCUCUGGUUAAUACCCGGGGCUAAUGACGGUACCGUAAGAAUAAGCACCGGCUAACUACGUG